CCGGUUACGCUUUCACGAGAUCGUUUGCUUUUCCGCUCACGUUCCUUUCCCACUCCGACCGUCCUUCUUGUCCUCCCACUUUUUUCAGCUCUUUUCCCCGCGUAAUUAAUUAAAAGAGUAAUAUCAGUAAGUAUGAGGGAGCCACGCGGUUUGUUCUGUGCGUUUACACGAACGUAAUCAGCGAAUAUCCAUAGGAACGAGCUAAACGGCGAAUGUCUUCUAUGCUGCAUGCAACACCGUCAUAUAUACAGCUACGAGAAAAAAAGCUGUUAAUCGAGAGAAAAUAAAAGACGC
rnacentral:misc_RNA from 1 species